AGGAGGUUCCUGUGUAGCACUUGGAAAUGAAGGAGAUGCCAGAGCUGCUUUUUGAAGAUCCAAUUUUCUAGUUGCUACUCUUCACCUUCUUGGGAAUCUCCUAAAUCGCCAAAACUACCAUUUAUGAACGGGAUGGAUGAUAACUUUUCUGAUUUCGUGUUGAUAAAGACUCCUAAACUGCUGAAUCCUUGAAGGUACCAUUUGCUGACUUGCUGGUGAUAAUCCUUACUUCUUUAGUACUAGCUCAACAAUUAUCUGGUGAUCUCUUAUGUUAUUCUGCACCCGGAUGGAAUUAGGCUUUUUCCAUUUGGUCGACUAAGUACACUUUUACGAUAAUGUUUUGGUCGAGACAGAUUUUCGUGGUUAUUUGUAACUGAUUUUAUGGUCGACUAAGUAUACUUUUAUUAACUUGUGAUGUUGUGAAUACGACUGUCAAAAGGAAAAAGAUUGAAACCUCCAUC
rnacentral:lncRNA from 1 species